ACACAUGCAGUCGAGCGCUCACUUCGGUGGGAGCGGCGGACGGGUUAGUAACGCGUGGGAACGUACCCUUCUCUACGGAAUAGCCUCGGGAAACUGAGAGUAAUACCGUAUACGCCCUUUGGGGGAAAGAUUUAUCGGAGAAGGAUCGGCCCGCGUUAGAUUAGAUAGUUGGUGGGGUAAUGGCCUACCAAGUCUACGAUCUAUAGCUGGUUUUAGAGGAUGAUCAGCAACACUGGGACUGAGACACGGCCCAGACUCCUACGGGAGGCAGCAGUGGGGAAUCUUAGACAAUGGGCGCAAGCCUGAUCUAGCCAUGCCGCGUGUGUGAUGAAGGCCCUAGGGUCGUAAAGCACUUUCGCCAGGGAUGAUAAUGACAGUACCUGGUAAAGAAACCCCGGCUAACUCCGUGCCAGCAGCCGCGGUAAUACGGAGGGGGUUAGCGUUGUUCGGAAUUACUGGGCGUAAAGCGCGCGUAGGCGGAUCAGAAAGUAUGGGGUGAAAUCCCGGGGCUCAACCUCGGAACUGCCUCAUAAACUACUGGUCUAGAGUUCGAGAGAGGUGAGUGGAAUUCCGAGUGUAGAGGUGAAAUUCGUAGAUAUUCGGAGGAACACCAGUGGCGAAGGCGGCUCACUGGCUCGAUACUGACGCUGAGGUGCGAAAGUGUGGGGAGCAAACAGGAUUAGAUACCCUGGUAGUCCACACCGUAAACGAUGAAUGCCAGUCGUCGGCAAGCAUGCUUGUCGGUGACACACCUAACGGAUUAAGCAUUCCGCCUGGGGAGUACGGUCGCAAGAUUAAAACUCAAAGGAAUUG
rnacentral:rRNA from 1 species